rnacentral:rRNA from 1 species
AUGAACGCUGGCGGCGUGCCUAAUACCUGCAAGUCGAGCGAACAGACGAGGAGCUUGCUCCUCUGACGUUAGCGGCGGACGGGUGAGUAACACGUGGAUAACCUACCUAUAAGACUGGGAUAACUUCGGGAAACCGGAGCUAAUACCGGAUAAUAUAUUGAACCGCAUGGUUCAAUAGUGAAAGACGGUUUUGCUGUCACUUAUAGAUGGAUCCGCGCCGCAUUAGCUUGUUGGUAAGGUAACGGCUUACCAAGGCAACGAUGCGUAGCCGACCUGAGAGGGUGAUCGGCCACACUGGAACUGAGACACGGUCCAGACUCCUACGGGAGGCAGCAGUAGGGAAUCUUCCGCAAUGGGCGAAAGCCUGACGGAGCAACGCCGCGUGAGUGAUGAAGGUCUUCGGAUCGUAAAACUCUGUUAUUAGGGAAGAACAAAUGUGUAAGUAACUAUGCACGUCUUGACGGUACCUAAUCAGAAAGCCACGGCUAACUACGUG